CGUUACAAUGGCAGGUACAGAGGGAUGCUACCGGGCGACCGGAUGCGGAUCUCGAAAGCCUGUCCCAGUUCGGACUGGAGUCUGCAACCCGACUCCACGAAGUUGGAUUCGCUAGUAAUCGCGCAUCAGCCAUGGCGCGGUGAAUACGUUCCCGGGCCUUGUACACACCGCCCGUCAAGCCAUGGGAGCCGGGGGCGCCUGAAGUCCGGGACCGCGAGGACCGGCCUAGGGCGAAACUGGUAACUGGGGCUAAGUCGUAACAAGGUAAC
rnacentral:rRNA from 1 species